UAGCAGCGAGAGGGAGGAAGAAAGGGGGAGGAGGAGAAAGGGGAAAAUUAAAGUAGAGUUUAAACAGCGAGAGGAGAAAGAGGCAGCGGCAGCGGCAGCAGUAGUAGAGGAAGAGGAGUCCCAAUCGCACGGCGCCUCGACCGCCUGCUGCCUCCCCCCCCCCCCUACCACCACCGCGCCCGCCGCGUAACCCCCUAGGGCCGCCGCGGCGAGCGAGCGAGCGUCGGCCGGCCGCGCGAGAUCUCGCCAGGGGGCGCGGCGGGCGUCGCCCACUGCCCCCAGCUCGCCGGCGGCGGGGGCGGGGCCGCCCCCAUGCCUUUGGCGCCCCGAUCGGAGCCGAUCGGUGGCCGCUCGAGGCGUCAGAGGAGCUCGCCGGCCGCCGGGGAGGCGGAGGCGGCGGCGAGAGAGGAGGGGGAGGAAGAGGAGGAGGAGGAUGGCGCUGUUCCGCAAGUUCUUCCUCAAGAAGACGCCGGAUCGGCUGCUCGAGAUCUCCGAGCGCGUCUAUGUGUUCGACUGUUGCUUCGCCGCGGAGGCCAUGGGUGAGGAUGAGUACAGGGAUUACUUGAGUGGCAUCGUUGCGCAGUUGCAGGACUACUUUCCCGAUGCGUCAUUCAUGGUCUCCAAUUUCUGGUCUGGGGACAAGAGGAGUCGGAUUUCAGAUAUAUUGUCUGAGUACGACAUGACAGUCAUGGACUACCCACAGCAAUACGAAGGAUGCCCACUCCUUCAGCUCGAGAUGAUCCACCAUUUCUUGAAAUCAUGUGAAAAUUGGUUGUCAGUGGAAGGGCAGCAGAACAUGCUUCUAAUGCAUUGUGAAAGAGGGGGAUGGCCAGUGCUUGCAUUCAUGUUGGCUGGACUACUUCUAUAUCGGAAAACGUACACUGGUGAGCACAAGACUCUAGAGAUGGUCUACAAGCAGGCUCGCAGGGACUUCAUACAGCAAUUCCUAAAGUUGAAUCCCCAGUCUUCUCAUCUGAGGUAUUUGCACUAUGUAACAAGACAUGGAAGUGGUUCAGAAUGGCCUCCAAUUAGCCGGCCUCUCAUAUUGGAUUCUGUAGUUCUCCACACAGUUCCUAGAUUUGAUUCCGAAGGGGGCUGUAGGCCGUAUUUGCGUAUUCACGGGCAAGACUCAAGUCCUGGUAACAAGAGUGCAAAGGUUCUUUUUGAGACGCCCAAGACCAAGAAACAUCUCCAGCGGCAUGGGCAGGCUGAAGUUUCGGUGAAAAUUAGUGCUUCUUGCCGUGUUCAAGGAGAUGUGGUUCUUGAAUGCAUCCACAUUGGCGAAAAACUAGAUCGUGAGGAAACAAUGUUCCGCGUCAUGUUCAACACUGCAUUCAUUCAAUCAAAUGUCCUUGGAUUGAAUCGUGAUGAUAUUGACGCUGCGUGGAAUGUGAAUAAUCAGUUCCCAAGGGACUUCCGAGCUGAGGUACUCUUUUCAGACCCUCAUUCCUUAAAGCCCGCUGCUGCAUUAGAAGAGGUAGGCGACGACGGAGAUGAGACUGAUGUUGCUUCCGUAGAUACAGGAGAUGAGUUUUAUGAGGCAGAGGAGGAUUGGCAUGAUGCUAGGAGAGAUCCAGAUACUCAGUCAACUGACGGAAGAAUUUCAUUAGAAGUUGGCAACACAGAAUCGGAUGGUGGGGUGGCAGUUGAGGAAAACGGCAGCCUAGGGAAGCAUGUGAUUGAUGAGGAUGUGAAGAUUAUUAUCUCCGAAAAUUCAGGUAGCAUGAAUGACAAUGGGCCAGCACCUGCCCCAACUUUGGAAAAUCCAGGAGGUUUACAGCAGGCAUGCAAGGUUCUCGAGAAGUCUAAACUAAGCAACAUAAGUGACCAAGAGGACAAUGCUGUGCAGGACAUACAGGUGGUUGCUGCUUCUAUAGAUUCAGAAGGGCGCAAGUUUGGAUCAAACUGUCAGGAGGAUACGAAAGGUGUAAUUGCACAAACUUUAGUUACUGCAACAGAUCCAAGUUGCAGUGAUGAAGUUCAGUGUCGCACAGGUGAAUCCACGAAAAUAUCAACAUACACUGCUCUGGACUACACUGCUUUCAGUUCUCCUAGAAUAUUAUCAAGUGUGGACGAGGAUAUCCACUUAAGGACAUUGCCAAAUGAAGGACACCAGAAUGGUGACAUCAAGAUUAUUACCGAAAACACAGUAACUUUGGACAGUGAGCUACUGAUCUAUGAGGAGAAAGCAGUAGUUGAUAAUGGAAACCUUGUGCAGGAGGUAAAAACUGUUGUCAAGGAAGAGAGUGUUAUUUCAAAGAUAGACAGAACUGCUACUGAGAAUAUUGUCUCAGAAGAUAAUAACAGUUACAAUGUAGAAAUGGUUAAGGUUGCUGAUACAGCUGACAGAAGACUGAAUCAUAGUAAAUCGAAAUCUGGUCUUGGAGAUACCAUACAUGCGAAGAAAAGCAGUCUGCAGGAUAGUAUUGUUGUGUUACCAGCUAAUGAAAUAUCAAUAGAAAUGAAAACCAAGCGAGAAGAGUGUGGUGGCAGACAGGAUUUUGGCAUGCCUCUUCCUCAAAGAAAAAUAGAAGCUAGGGAUGAUAAAUCCUUGUCCUCAGUAUCAAAGAAGAUACCAGUAGGUAAUGCACCUGGGUCAGUGUUACGGGAGGCAAUGCUUGGGCAUAACGAACAACUGGAAGAACAAUCGAAGCCGGCCAAACCAAAAACAAUACGUAGAUGGAUCUCACCCAAGAAGGAAUCUGAAACUGCCUCUGUGCGUAGGCCAUCGCACCCUCCAUCCAGAUAUGACAGUUCUCCAGCUGCACUAGCUAUCCGUUCCGUGUCUACAGAUAACAAAGGCAAUUUUGUGAAAGGACCAUCUCUAGUACUACCUGGAACGCUGUACGGCAAUCACUUAACACAAGAUGCAGUGUUGUCUCCUCGAUUCCCUGCACGACGACCCUUGUUGUCAGGUGCACAAGCUGCGCCAAGAAUCCAAGCUACAGCUCCUGCUCCACCCCCACCCCCACCACCUCCAUUUUAUGCUUCUUCAAGUUCAGCUACGCACCUAGCACCUCCUCCACCACCACCACCACCACCGCCACCACCACCACCACCACCGGCUUCAGUAUGCUUGUCAAACAUACCUCCCCCUCCUCCUCCUCCUCCUCCUCCUAUGUCUUUUGGAGCACAAACACGGCACUUUGCACCUCCCCCUCCUCCCCCACCUCCGCCCCCAGGGUUAGGGGUCCGUGGAAGCAUUCCACCACCACCUCCACCUCCGCCAAGGUUAAAUGGCAGUGCUAUUGCUCCACCUGCCCCUCCACCUCCACCACCGAAACCAAGUUCAAGUGCUCCACCCCUGCCCCCGCCCCCACCGCCGCCUCCAGUUCAAUCCUUGACAACACGUCCAGGUGCUCCUCCUCCACCACCACCUCCCCCGCUUCCGGUGACACGUUCUGGUGCUCCAGCUCCACCACCACCUCCCCCGCCUCCAGUGACACGUUCUAGUGCUCCACCUCCACCACCACCUCCCCCGCUUCCAGCGACACGUUCUGGUGCUCCACCUCCACCUCCACCACCACCUCCCACAUCAUAUUCUACUGCUCCUCCGCCACCACCACCACCUCCGAUUACCCGUUCAGGAGCACCACCUCCCCCGCCCCCUCCUCCUGGUGCACGCCCUGGACCUCCACCUCCCCCACCCCCUCCAGGUGCCCGUCCUGGUCCUCCACCUCCCCCGCCUCCUCCAAGCCGACCAGCAGCUCCACCUCCCCCACCUCCUCCAGGCCAACCAGGAGCUCCACCACCCCCACCUCCUCCAGGCCGACCAGGAGCUCCACCUCCCCCACCUCCUCCAGGCAGACCAGGAGCUCCACCUCCCCCACCUCCUCCAGGCCGACCAGGUGCUCCACCUCCCCCACCUCCACCUGGAGCUGGAGGGAGAGCACCUCCACCACCACCUGCACCUGGAGGAAGGCUUGGUGGGCCUCCUCCACCUCCUCCUCCAGGUGGCCGUGCACCAGCUCCUCCUAGAGCACCAGGCGCACCACCACCACCAGGAGGCAAUCCUGCAAACUCUUUAGGUAGAGGGCGUGGUGCUGUACGUCCUCCAGGGUCAGGUUUUGGGGCUGCAGCCGCACGCAAAUCAACAUUAAAGCCGCUGCAUUGGGUCAAAGUGACAAGAGCUAUGCAAGGCAGUCUCUGGGAGGAAUUGCAGCGAAAUGAUGACCCACAUAGUGUAUCGGAGUUUGAUUUGUCAGAACUCGAGAGCCUUUUUCCAGCAGCCGUACCAAAAACGGAUAACACCUCCAAAACCGACAGAAGAAAAUCUCUUGGAUCAAAGCCAGAGAAAGUUCAGCUGAUUGAGUUGAGGAGGGCAAACAACACGGAGAUCAUGCUUACAAAAGUGAAGAUGCCGCUGCCAGACUUGGUGAGUGCGGCACUGGCACUGGAUCAGUCUACCUUGGAUGUUGAUCAAGUGGAGAAUCUCAUAAAGUUCUGUCCUACAAAAGAGGAAAUGGAGCUUCUUAAGAACUACACCGGAGACAAGCAACUUCUUGGGAAAUGUGAACUGUUCUUCCUAGAACUGAUGAAAGUCCCACGAAUGGAGUCAAAACUGAGAGUAUUCUCCUUCAAGAUCCAGUUUGGUUCACAAGUCGCAGAUCUUGGGAAAAGUUUGAAAACCAUAGACUCUUCAUGUAAUGAGAUCCGAAGUUCUCUCAAGUUGAAGGAAAUAAUGAAGAAAAUACUGCUCCUUGGAAAUACAUUGAACCAGGGAACUGCUAGAGGUGCUGCAGUUGGCUUCCGGUUGGACAGUCUGCUAAAACUUACAGAUACCCGGGCAACAAACAAUAAGAUGACAUUAAUGCACUACCUCUGCAAGGUACUUGCUGCAAAAUCACCACAGCUUUUGAACUUCCAUGUGGAUCUUGUUAGUUUAGAAGCUACAUCAAAGAUACAACUGAAAAUGUUAGCAGAAGAAAUGCAAGCAGUCAGUAAAGGGCUGGAAAAAGUUGAGCACGAGUUUAAAGCUUCAGAAAGUGAUGGUCCAGUGUCAGAAAUUUUCCGUGAGAAACUCAAAGAGUUCACUGACAAUGCUGGAGCAGAUGUGCAGUCAUUGUCUUCAUUGUUCUCUGAAGUGGGAAAAAAGGCUGAUCAAUUGAUCAAAUAUUUUGGCGAGGACCCUGUCCGUUGCCCAUUUGAGCAAGUUAUGUCUACCCUGUUGACAUUUGUAACAAUGUUCCGGAAAGCGCAUGAGGAGAAUAUCAAGCAAGCCGAGCUUGAGAAGAAAAAAGCUCAAAAAGAGGCAGAAGCAGAGAAGUCUAAGAAUGCUCAGUUGGCCAGUAAAAAUGACUCGAAAGCAUCGAAUCCAAGCCGACAAGCGAAACAAACGUUAGAGAAAACAAGAUCUACAAGUAGGCGAGGAAAAGAUGGUGGAUGAUCUGAGAUCUGAGAGACCAACUCCAAUGUUGUGAUUUUGAUCUGCCUGCGGGGCAAAUGCAUGCCCUGCCGGAUGCAUGCGAAGGACCAUGGAUUCGCACCGCGUCUUUGAAGGCGAGAAAAGGCGUGUGAAUGGACGCAGUGACCAGUGGAAGUAGAAUGCAUCGAAGCAAUUGUACAGUACAACAGUACUCCCACCACGCAGGUCUCACUGGCAAAUGGUCGACUAUUUUUUUCCUUCGGCCAGCAGGUGUUCAGUGCCAACAUCUGGCUGCUGUAAAGAGCUAACUGUGAAGCUAACUUCAUUCUUUUUUCUUACCCGUGCUAUGUUACUUGUUCUUUCUAACAUCGGUGGCCAAGUACAGCCGUAGCUUUAGGAGAGUGCAACCAAGGCACAAAGGUGCGAAUUGUACAAAUAGGAGUAGGGAAAGGGUAGAAGGAAAGAAUAUGUUCCUGGCAUGGUAGUAAAUAUGAGAUGUAAACGCACCCGUAGUGCAGUUAAUCGUACUUUUUGUAGCUAGUGUGUCAUAGUUUUGAUGAUCGGUUCGGUUGUAUGGCUACUCUUAUCAGUCACGCUGGAGGUGCUGCCGUUUUUUUGUUCCACGUGCAUGAUAACAAGAUGGAAGACGCUUCUGGAAUCA